GGAAUAAUAAAAGGAAUAUGAACAGUGUAGUCUUCUUUAAAUUAGCAGGUUUGUCGUAACACUUUAUUUUACAAUGUUCUGCUAUUGCGUACAGCUCUAAUGAUCAAUUUAACAACGGAAAGUAUAUUAGAAGAAGAGCAAUCACAAAUUGAAUGUAGUGGAAAAGCCAGUCCUUCAUCAAGUGGUUUUGAGGAUAAAUUUGCGAAUGAAGAGGAAAAUGUUGCAUCUGGUGAUCUGAUAGAAAAAACCAAUCGCAAUCAAGCAGAAUAUAA